ACCUGGGUGGCUCAGUUGGUUGAGCAUCCAACUUCGGCUCGGGUCAUCAUCUCAUGGUUUGUGAGUUCGAGUCCCGCUUCGGGCU
rfam:Felis catus breed Abyssinian Contig217887.1, whole genome shotgun sequence. [26-MAY-2016]